UACGGAGGUGGCUAGCGUUACUCGGAUUUACUGGGUGUAAAGGGUAUGUAGGUGGGCUUGUAAGUCAGACGUGAAAGCCCUUGGCUCAACCAAGGAAUUGCGUUUGAAACUGCUUGCCUUGAGUGCGGGAGAGGAAAGCGGAAUUCCCGGUGUAAGGGUGAAAUCUGUAGAGAUCGGGAGGAACACCUGUGGCGAAAGCGGCUUUCUGGUCCGUUACUGACACUGAAAUACGAAAGCUUGGGGAG
rnacentral:rRNA from 1 species